rnacentral:tRNA from 1 species
GGAGACUUAGCUCAGCUGGUUAGAGCGUUCGCCUCACACGCGAGAGGUCAUGGGUUCGAGUCCCCUAGUCUCCACCA